ACGGGAGGCAGCAGUGGGGAAUAUUGCACAAUGGGGGAAACCCUGAUGCAGCGACGCCGCGUGAGUGAAGAAGUAUUUCGGUAUGUAAAGCUCUAUCAGCAGGGAAGAUAAUGACGGUACCUGACUAAGAAGCCCCGGCUAACUACGUGCCAGCAGCCGCGGUAAUACGUAGGGGGCAAGCGUUAUCCGGAUUUACUGGGUGUAAAGGGAGCGUAGACGGUUUGGCAAGUCUGAAGUGAAAGCCCGGGGCUCAACCCCGGUAUUGCUUUGGAAACUGUUGAACUAGAGUGCCGGGGGGGUAAGCGGAAUUCCUAGUGUAGCGGUGAAAUGCGUAGAUAUUAGGAGGAACACCAGUGGCGAAGGCGGCUUACUGGACGGUAACUGACGUUGAGGCUCGAAAGCGUGGGGAGCAAACAGGAUUAGAUACCCUGGUA
rnacentral:rRNA from 1 species